UACGGGGGGGGCAAGCGUUGUUCGGAAUUAUUGGGCGUAAAGGGCGCGUAGGCGGCCUGCUAAGUCGGACGUGAAAUCCCUCGGCUCAACCGAGGAACUGCGUCCGAUACUGGUGGGCUUGAAUCCGGGAGAGGGAUGUGGAAUUCCAGGUGUAGCGGUGAAAUGCGUAGAUAUCUGGAGGAACACCGGUGGCGAAGGCGGCAUCCUGGACCGGUAUUGACGCUGAGGCGCGAAAGCUAGGGGAGCAAACAGG
rnacentral:rRNA from 1 species